rnacentral:rRNA from 1 species
UACGUAGGGGGCCAGCGUUGCUCGGAAUAACUGGGCGUAAAGGGUUCGUAGGCGGUGCGGAAAGUUGGGAGUGAAAUCUCUGGGCUUAACUCAGAGACUGCUUUCAAAACUUCCGUGCUCGAGUGCGAGAGAGGCAAGUGGAAUUGCAGGUGUAGCGGUGAAAUGCGUAGAUAUCUGCAGGAACACCCGUGGCGAAGGCGGCUUGCUGGAUCGCAACUGACGCUGAGGAACGAAAGCUAGGGGAGCAAACAGG